GUUUGUAUAUGUGAAAUGUGCGACUGGCGUCGUGUACGAAAUACCGCUGUCUUGUGGGAAAUCUUACGUGGGCCAAACCGGGCGCUGCGUGAACGACCGUACAAGGGAACAUGAGCUCUCAAUUAGGAAUAAUGGGAACGCGCAUUUACCUGCGCAUUGCCAGGCUUGCAUGUGUGCACCGGUUUUCGCGAACAUUAAGAUAUUAGGCAGGAGUAAAGAUACUACCGCCCGUGAACUGAUGGAGGCGUUCCAUAUAUCUGCAAGAGGGAAGGCAUGUGUU
rnacentral:lncRNA from 1 species